GACGAACGCUGGCGGCGUGCUUAACACAUGCAAGUCGAACGAAGUGGCGAACGGGUGAGUAACGCGUAAUCAACCUGCCCUUCAGUGGGGGACAACAGUUGGAAACGACUGCUAAUACCGCAUACUGAAGGAGGGGAUUGCGUCUGAUUAGCUAGUUGGAGGGGUAACGGCCCACCAAGGCGAUGAUCAGUAGGCGGUCUGAGAGGAUGACCGGCCACAUUGGGACUGAGACACGGCCCAGACUCCAACGUGAGGCAGCAGUGGGGAAUCUGCCGCAAUGGACGAAAGUCUGACGGAGCAACUCCGCGUGAGUGAUGACGGCCUUCGGGUUGUAAAGCUCUGUUAGUCGGGAAGCGGUACCGGAAUAGAAAGCCACGGCUAACUACGUGCCAGAGGCCGGGGUAAAC
rnacentral:rRNA from 1 species